UUAGUGAGCCACGUUUAGUGAACUUAUUCUCUAAUAAGCACUUAUAUACUUGCUUUAGUGUCUCCACACAAAUGAUCAUGAGAUCAAUCAUCUUCAUCCAAUGAGCAAGCAACGUAUGUACCAAUCUAUCCGGAUUCAAUAAUCCCCAAUUUAGUAAUCCAACAAUUGGGAACUAUUUUAGUUUUAAGCUUUCUAAGAAUUUAGAUCUCAUUAGAAUGAUCAUCAUCAUUGACGACUAUUUGUUUUAAAAAGGGACAUUAAACUGAAGAGUUAAUGGGGGAGUUACAGCUCAUUACUGGGCAUCGUGCAACCAAUGGCUAGUUAACACAUCACAACAUAUGCAGAGUCAGAAGGAACUGCCAUAAAGACAAAUUCAAAAUCUGCAAACAGUUACCAGAAACUAUUUAACCUCUCUCCCUC
rnacentral:lncRNA from 1 species